ensembl:lncRNA
AAAACAAGCUGGUGGGUAAUCAUAAUCAAAAUCAUGCUGGCCUAAGAGUAUCUUACAAGACUGAAUAAGAAGUGCUCAUUUUGUAAUUUGCAAACUCCAUCUCCCCAGUCCCAAUCUACACAAGAUUUUAAGCAAAACUCUAUAGAGUCAUCAAACAGAUGAACAGAAAGUUGGUGGAAAAUUUAUAUUUAUGAAAUUUUUCAUAUUUUCUUCUUCAUGGAACAUUUCUUUUUAAGUUUUAUAUUACUAGCAUUAACUCAAUGUUCCCCUCUAAUCUUUAUAUGCUUCUAUCUAAAGUUUCACUCCAUCUUUCUUUCCCCGUACCCACAAAAACCACAAACCACAACAAGAACCAAACAAAACUCCUCAUAGUCACAGUUAGAAAGCAACUGUUAUAUCACCGAUUCUCAUUUAAAAAAAUUUUUUUUUUGGCCACACCCAUAGCAUGUGGAAGUUCCCAGAUCAGGGAUCAAAACCACACUGCAAUCCUUAUGCUAAGGAAAAACGUAAGAAUGUACAUAAAGAUUUAGAUAUUAAGAUACUAAUAUAACUAAUAAUAGUAAAAAGAUUAAGAUAAUAAAUUUCCCCAAAUAGGAGAUUAAGUAAUUAUGGUAUAUCUAUAACACAGACCAGAUCUAUGGCUCUCAUACAAAAUCUUGCUUGACAACUGUUAUUGUAAAUAAAGUUUUAUUGGAAUAAACCACACCCAUUUGGAAUGGUCUAUGGCUGCUUUUAGCCCUCAAAGUCUCAAAUACUAAAUAGCCCUAUAAAGAAAAAACUUGCUGACCUCAGCACCAGAUUGUAUUGAUGUGUAUUUCUGAGAAUAAAGAGAUGUUUAUGAUAUAUUUAUUUCUGGUGCUAGAUUUAUUUCAGUUAUGAAACUAUACAUAAUACACUAAACCAAAUGGGCGAUUUUUUUGGCUUGUAUAUAUUUAAUAAAUAUACAAAUUGUAUACAAUUUGUGUACAAGAAAGGCAAGGAGGAAGAAAACACCUACUUCUCAAUGACCAGAAAUUAAAAACACAACAGAACAAAAACUAAUUACUAACUUCACAAAGGGCAAAUGUAUAUAACUUCCUGUUGAAUGGUUUCUCUUCAUUUUCUCCUUUCAUUUUUAAAUAAUGCUUUGGGGUCUCACAUACAUUCAUGUCAUUUUAUUUCUUCAACUGAAGUAUACAGAAAUUUAGAAUCAUUUCAGUUACUAAUCCCACAUUACUAAUACAGCUAUAUCCCUUAAAUGCCAGAUGUUACAAAGGUCUAUUUCACUGAUAAUUUGGCUAAUAUAUCUCUGUAUUCUCAGUGCUGAACAUGGUUGGCUCCUUCAUUCAUAUAUGUAGGCAUACUUCUUAUUCACCAAAUAAUUUGUAGAAAUCCAGUGUUAUGUGCUAGGCCAUAAACUUCUUGUGAUCACAGUCCCUAAUCUCACGGACUUGUGAUUCUACUGGGAGAUAAAGAUGAGCAAAUAGGCAAUUACAGUGUGGUAAUUCUAUACUGAAGUAUCUAGCUCAGUUUGUGACAAUACAGGAAGGCUUCCCUGAGAAAAUAACCAAAGAGCAAAGUGAGAAAGAACACUGAGAUAUAUACAAACACCUGAAAGCAAACCAGAACAUGACACAGUCCAGAAAUAGGGAAAAGGCCAUUAGGAUGGAGCAAGGAAUGCAAUGGAGAGAAGGGAAAAGUAUAACUGGGGUGUGCAUGUGGACUCUGUGAACUGUGGUGGAUUUGCAUUUUAUAAAGUCCCUUGUGGAUACAUUGUGAAGACGAUGGGGACAGAACAAUAACGGGAAGAUCUCUUUAUAGGAGGCUACUGGAGUAAUUCCAGCAAGACAUCAGUAGAGAUGCAGAAAACCUAAGUAAAGAAAGAUUUAGGGCACAGAGUGGAAAGGUAACUGACUACAAUUUGGAGGUAGGGUAAAGGAGAAAGAAUAAAAACUGACCCAAAUUUGUGGCUUAGGCAACUGGAUAAAUGGGAAUGUCACUCAAAGAAAACCGAGAAGGAAAAAUAAACUGAUUUGUUUUGAACUUGAGGAAGUUUACAUGCCUGUAGAAAUUCCAAAUGAAGAUUUAUAUUAAGCACAAUUAGAUUCAGAUGUAGAGCUUAAGACAGGGAUCUGGGCUAGAUAAGACCACAGAUUUGAGAGUAUCAGCAGCAACUGGGUAAGAAUACUGAGAGGUAUAGGCAGACAAGAGAAGGGAGGUAGGCCAGAAACUUGAGGAAUACUAAUAUUUAAUGGAGGAAGAGGAUUUUUAUUACGUGACAUGUGAGAGAAUCAGUCCCUGAAAGGGCUGCCUGGCAAGAAAGGGAGGUAACAGUCAGUGGAUAACUGAGAAUGUAAGUAUGUUAGCCAUGGAACCAAAGUUCCAAGGGUCCAGCUGAAACAUACAAGAGAAAGGCAAAUAAUGAGAAGAUGGAUCAGAAACUGGAAGCAGGAUGCUGAUAAAAAUAUACAGGAAUGGGAAGUGGCACUUCCAGAGUGGCAGAGGAAGGACAUUUGAAAAUCUGUUCCUCCAUAAAAGCAACAAUACUGGCAAAUACUGUCAAAUGAAAAGAUAACCUACUGAAUAGGAGAAAAUGUCUGCAGAUGACACAACGGAUAAGGGGUUAGUAUCCAAAACAUAUAAACAGCUCACUCAACCCAACAUCAAAAAACACAAACCACUUAAAAAAUGGGCAGAAGACCUGAAUAUAGACAUUUUUAUAUAGGAAACAUAGAGGAAAUGCAGAUAGCCUACAGGCAAAUGAGAAGAUGUCAACAUCACUAAUUAUCAGGGAGAUGCAAAGUAAAACCGCAAGCUAUCACCUCACACUUGUCAGAAUGGCUGUCAUCAAAAAGAACACAAAUAACAAAUGUUGGUGAGGAUAUCAAGAAAGGGGAACUCUUGUAUACUGUAGGAGGGGAUGUACAUUGGUGCAGUCACUGUGGAGAAAAGUAUGGAGAUUUCUCCAAAAAACUGAAAAUAGGGAGUUCCCUUAUGGCACAGCAGGGUAAGGAUCCCUUAUUGUCACUGCAGCAGCAGUGACACAGGUUCAAUCCCUGGCCUGGCUGUGCCCCCCUCCCCAAAUCACACACACAACAACAACAAUAACAAAACCCUGAAAACAGAACUACCACAUGACCCAGCAAUUCUACUCUUGGCAUAUAUCCAAAGAAAAUGAAAACACUAAUUCAAAAAUGUUCAUAGCAGCAUUAUUUACAACAACCAUGUCUCUAUCAACAAAUAAGGAAGCUGUGACACACACACACACACACUACUCAGUCAUAAAAUAAAAUGAAAUUUUGCCAUCUGCAACAACAUGGAUGGACAUUACACUAACUGAAAUAAGUCCAAACUAAUGGUUACCAGUAGGGAGAAGGAAGAGAGAAGGAGCAAUAUAGGAGUAAGGCAAUAAUAUUAUGCAUAAAAUAAGUUAUAAGGAUAUAUUUUACAACAUAGGGAAUACACCCAAUAUUUUAUAAUAACUCUAAAUGGAGUAUAACCUUUAAAAACUAUGAAUCUCUAUAUUGUACACCUAUAACUUAUAUAAUAUUGUACAUCAACUGUACUUUGACAAAAGAAUUUUGAAAAGAGUACUGCAAAUACUUUCAAAAUUAAUUUUUCCCAGCAUUCUGGAAGUUUACUAAAGGGCUGAAACAAUCCAAGGAAUAUUCAUUCAAGAAAACCAGCUGACUCUUAGCAAGAACAUCAAGCUUUAUAGCAUCUUAACAUGCCCUAAUCCAAUCACCCCAACCCCAGCCCCAGACUAGCCUUGAAAAACCAAAACCGUGCAAUGAUGGUAGUUAGGAAACCCAAAAGCCAAGCCAGAAUACUGGAGAAGCCAGAAUAGAUUUGAAGUUCCCCCAAAACUCCAUCCCCAGAAAACUAUCACUAUUUGCCUGCCCGGCAGCAUGCCAAAAAUCUCCAUUCUUGGGAACUGUCUUUAUUUGAUAAGACUCAGGAUUCACUCUAUGUGUAUAGUGCCAUCUGCAGCAUAUUUGCUGAAAACAGGCAAUAGCAAUUGUUUAACACUGCAGUUGCCUGAGGGAGUUGUACUAGUUGUAGCUAAUAAGCAGCUGAUCAAAAUACUCAAAAGGAAAAACUGAGGAAUGAAAUGUCCAUAAGGGGCAUUGAAUGUUCUGACAUAGUUCUGGGAAUUUAGAAGGUUAUACAUAUUGGUCUUACUAGACAAAUACCUUAUACCAAUUACAAACAUUUCAAAGAAAUAAAUUACAUCUAAAUAAUUAAAGCAAAGUUUCAGAGUCAUGUUUUACCUAAGAUAAUAUAUAUGAAGAGAUAGAAAUUAUAAAAAAGAAUGAAAUAGAAAGUUGGAAUUUAAAUGUGAAAGGGGUACUUUCGCCCAGUGCAGUUAGGAAAAAAAAAAUCAAAUGGACAUUUUGGAGUUGAAAAGGGCAAUAAUAGGUAUGAAACAUUUCGUAAAGGCGCUUAGUAGCAUAUUUGAAUUGGCAGAUAAAAGAAUCAGUCAAGUUAAAGACAGGUCACUUGAGCUUCUCCAAUCUGAGGAACAAAAAGAAAAAAGGAGUGGAAAGUAUAUUUGAAAAAAUAAUGACAAAAACUUCCCCAAUUGGAUG